AGCCAGCGGAGGAAGCUUAAAAUCUCCUCCUCUCCGAGCUCAUGGAGACGUGCUGGGUGAAACCCGGCUGAUUAGAGACGCGUCUCAGUGACCUGCUCUGUGGUUUGUAGGGACCGGCUUAGAGACCAGCUUUUCGCAUCCUCUCCAGUGAUACCGGCUUUGACAGGAGCUUCUCCGUAAGAGCAGUUUCUCGAUACCAGUGUUGUGAGACCAGCACGGUGAUACCAGCUUGGGAAGACCAGCACGGUGAUACCAGCUUUGUGAGACCAGCAGGGUGAUACCAGCUUGUGAGACCAGCACGGUGAUACCAGCUUGGAAAGACCCGCACAUUGAUACCAGCUUGGGAAGACUAGCACAGUGAGACCAGCUCAGUGAUACCAGCUUUGGAAGACCAUAGAACGGGAUGUCUAUCUGACUGGGUGAGGAGGACGGACACAAGAGGAGAAGCACAGCUCCGUACUCAGACGUGUCCGGAGCGAGUCGGUGAGGGAUCAAGGCGUGGCACUGAGCAGAGCCCGUCGUGAGUGCACAGGGUAACCAGGAGACCGCCCCCCUAGAAGCCAUGGCCCAGCCCUUCCCCCCCUCCCCGUUCCCGC